rnacentral:rRNA from 1 species
UACGGAGGGUGCAAGCGUUAUCCGGAUUCACUGGGUUUAAAGGGUGCGUAGGUGGGCAGGUAAGUCAGUGGUGAAAUCUCCGGGCUUAACUCGGAAUCUGCCAUUGAUACUAUCUGUCUUGAAUACCGUGGAGGUUAGCGGAAUAUGUCAUGUAGCGGUGAAAUGCUUAGAUAUGACAUAGAACACCAAUUGCGAAGGCAGCUGGCUACACGAAUAUUGACACUGAUGCACGAAAGCGUGGGGAUCAAACAGG